rnacentral:rRNA from 1 species
GAUGAACGCUAGCGAUAGGCCUAACACAUGCAAGUCGAGGGGCAUCACAUGAAGUAGCAAUACGGAUGGUGGCGACCGGCGCACGGGUGAGUAACACGUAUGCAACCUGCCUUCAACAAGGGGAUAACCCGUUGAAAGACGGACUAAUACCCUAUAACACAGGGGUCCCGCAUGGGAAUAUUUGUUAAAGGACAACCGGUUGAAGAUGGGCAUGCGUUCCAUUAGCUAGUUGGCGGGGUAAGGCCCACCAAGGCAACGAUGGAUAGGGGAACUGAGAGGUUUAUCCCCCACACUGGUACUGAGACACGGACCAGACUCCUACGGGAGGCAGCAGUGAGGAAUAUUGGUCAAUGGACGCAAGUCUGAACCAGCCACGUCGCGUGAAGGAAGACGGCCCUACGGGUUGUAAACUUCUUUUGCAAGGGAAUAAAGUGGCCACGUGUGGCCUUUUGCAAGUACCUUGCGAAUAAGGAUCGGCUAACUCCGUGCCAGCAGCCGCGGUAAUUACUGACU